GCCGAGUCGCCGCGUCGCCAGACCGUCCGCUGCGCCUGAGCUGGGGGCCUUGGGGGCCCCGGACCUCUCCUCACUCUCGCUGGCCGUUUCCAGGACCACGGAUGAACUGGAGAUCAUCGAUGAGUACAUCAAGGAGAACGGCUUCGGCCUGGAGGCGGCGCCGCCGGGCCCGGGAGAG